rnacentral:rRNA from 1 species
UACGAAGGGGGCUAGCGUUGCUCGGAAUCACUGGGCGUAAAGGGUGCGUAGGCGGGUCUUUAAGUCAGGGGUGAAAUCCUGGAGCUCAACUCCAGAACUGCCUUUGAUACUGAGGAUCUUGAGUUCGGGAGAGGUGAGUGGAACUGCGAAGUGUAGAGGUGAAAUUCGUAGAUAUUCGCAAGAACACCAGUGGCGAAGGCGGCUCACUGGCCCGAUACUGACGCUGAGGCACGAAAGCGUGGGGAGCAAACAGG